rnacentral:tRNA from 1 species
GCCUCUGUAGCUCAGUUCGUUAGAGCGCUGCAACUGAAUCGCAGGGCCGUAGGUUCAAUUCCUACCAGAGGAC